AAAAAGGCAAACCCUGAGUUUCCGUGUCCAACUUCGACUGUCCGUUUUAUAUGAAAUUUUUUUAUAAUUCGUAUUUUCAUUGUUGUUAGAUGAUAAAACAUGAUUAAUAUUUUAUGCGUGACUUGUCUUUUUAAUUUUUUCAUACUUUUUUUAAAUAAGAUGGACGGUCAAACGUUGGGCACGGAAACCAGGGUUUGUCUUUUU
rfam:Oryza meridionalis cultivar OR44 (W2112) chromosome 10, whole genome shotgun sequence.